AGACGUAGGAGGCGAGCGUUAUCCGGAUUUAUUGGGCGUAAAGGGCAAGUAGGCGGUUGUCAAAGUUGGGCGUGACAACUCCCGGCUCAACUGGGAGGGUGCGUUCAAAACUAGGCAACUAGAGGGCAGGAGAGGGAAGUGGAAUUCCCAGUGUAGCGGUGGAAUGCUCAGAUAUUGGGAAGAACACCAGUGGCGAAGGCGGCUUCCUGGCCUGCACCUGACGCUGAGAGGCGAAAGCUAGGGUAGCAAACGGGCUUAGAUACCCCGGUAGUCCUAGCCGUAAACGUUGGAUACUAGGUAUUGGGGGAGGAGAGUCUCUCAGUGCCGAAGCAAACGCGAUAAGUAUCCCGCCUGGGGACUACGGCCGCAAGGUUAAA
rnacentral:rRNA from 1 species